AAUCAACGCUGGCGGCGUGCCUCAGACAUGCAAGUCGAACGCGAAAGUUUCCUUCGGGAGGCGAGUAGAGUGGCGCACGGGUGAGUAACACGUAGGUAAUCUACCUUUGGGUGGGGAAUAACAGCCGGAAACGGCUGCUAAUACCGCAUAAUGCAGCGGCUCGACAUCGAGACAGUUGUUAAAGGCGGGGGAUCGCAAGACCUCGCGCCUAAAGAGGAGCCUGCGGCGGAUUGGCUAGUUGGUGAGGUAAUGGCUCACCAAGGCAUCGAUCCGUAGCCGGCCUGAGGAGGGCGGGUCGGCCACACUGACACUGACAUACGGGUCAGACUCC
rnacentral:rRNA from 1 species